rnacentral:rRNA from 1 species
GUAGGUGGCAAGCGUUGUCCGGAAUUAUUGGGCGUAAAGCGCGCGCAGGUGGUUCGUUUAAGUCUGAUGUGAAAGACCCCCGGGCUCAACCGGGGAGGGUCAUUGGAAACUGGGGAACUUGAGUGCAGGAGAGGAAAGUGGAAUUCCACGUGUAGCGGUGAAAUGCGUAGAUAUGUGGAGGAACACCAGUGGCGAAGGCGACUUUCUGGCCUGUAACUGACACUGAGGCGCGGAAGCGUGGGGAGCAAACAGGAUUAGAUACCCUGGUAGUCCACGCCGUAAACGAUGAGUGCUAAGUGUUGGGGGGUUUCCGCCCCUCAGUGCUGCAGCUAACGCAUUAAGCACUCCGCCUGGGGAGUACGGUCGCAAAGACUG